CCCAGGGAGAGAAAUAAGCUAUUUUGUUUAGCCCACUGUUAUUUUAGCUCUUGCUUGAGCAGCUAAACUGGUAUCCUCACUAACGGAGAAUUUGGGAUUCAGAUGUACGGUGCUGCCACGGUAAGACAGACUACGAGGCGUGUUCUUCGCAGUACUGGGCGGUAAAGACACAGAUAUUUCAGGCCAGAGAAUGGGUGCUACUUGGCGUGGCCUGGAAAAGCAUUUGCUUGCAGCAUCUCAGAAGGCAGGCCUGAUGCUCGCGGAGUACAUGACUCCAGUAGAAUCUGUUGGAAAAACUCAGGAUGUUGGUAUGGGUUGGAUGAUUCUUCUUGCUUUGUGAACGGCCAUCAAGAGACUAACUCAGAGAAUGAAGAAAUUGCAAUAAUGGCAAACGACACUACCCCCCGAGCCUUUCUCAGGUGUCUCCAUAACGGCUGCUGGCCAGGCAAUGGGAGCCAUCCCGGCUGCGAAGGCAGAUGACGGCACCGUCUUCCCACCCAGAGGCUUUUGUUCUAGGUGGCCUCAAGAAAGUCACCGCAAGGAGGAGAGAAGAGGGGAUUAGGCAGAGCAGAUUGAGCACAGGGGCCAGAGCUUUUAACACAUGAAAAGCAGGUCCAGAGGAGGCUUUUGGUUGUGGUUACUUACACUUGGAAGUGUCUAGAAGCAAAUACAUCUUGACGGUUUUGAAAAAUGGUAUUUCCAAAGAAAUUGAAACCCUGGUCUGCAAAAGUAGGUGAUUAUUCAGCCCCACAUUUUCUUAUACAUACUACUAGGAAAGAGACAGCAGCCCUCUGCAGCCCUCAAGAGAGAAACACUCCCCGGGAUCCAUUUAAUACGAGGCCGCGGAGGACCUUAUCUAUUGUCGAGGUUCUUUCUCCCAGAAAACCAGGAACGGCCAACGAGCCUAUCCGAGGAUCUUGUUUCACUGUCCAGCUGGAUGUGAAACUCACUAUUGACACGAGUUGCUUUGGUUUUCAUUCAUUCCUUUUCUGAAUGGGAGUUUUUAUUGCCCUUGUCCUGACUCUACCCAACCCUGUUGCUAUGGAGACAAUAACUUGUAGCUAGCUCAGACUGUGGGCAGGCACAACAAGCCUAACGGGGAGGAGACACAAUACCGAGAGUCACUACAUUGGAGCUGCAUUUGGGAGCUGGGCACAACUUCCGGCUGCCUCUCUUGGGGAUGAUGAUGUUCCAUGCCUGGGAGGAAGGGAAUGCAUGAGCAUCUGGUCGGCCAAAAGGUAAGCUUGUAUCAGAGAAUGCUGGCUUCCUCAAUAUCUGUUGCCUCCCCCACUUGUUUUUCUUUCAAAGUAGAAUUUCUAAGAUUGACCCCAGUGUGUGGCUUCUUGGCUAAAGGUUACAUUUUAUGGCUUCCCAUGCGGCCCAGUUGGCUGCUUGACUGAGUUCUGUCCAAUGGCGCGUGAGUGGGAGAUGGGGGCCAGAAAAGGAAUAGGCAUAUUCUCCCCUUCCAUUCACCCCUCCCUUCAUCUCUGCUGGCUGGGAUGUGACUGUGAUGGAAGGAGCUGGGACAGCUACCUUGGACCAUGAGUAGAUAGAACCUGCAAAUGGAAGGUGCGCAGCAUCGGAGGUAAGGCAUCCGGUUCCCCCACACGGUGGAGCCCGAGACAGCCCUGGACUGCUCUGCAUGGACUUCUGUAUGAGAGAAAAAAGCCCCUUGUAUCUUGGCCUCUGUUUCAGCAGCUGAAAUGGGAUCCUAACCAGUUCAACAGAACACCAGACCUUCCGAAAUGGAGCUUGAGGAGCUGACUUCUCCGCCCCGGAUCGGGACGGUGGGAACAUUGACAGUGGCCUCUCAGAUCGCCCUGCUUGCCCCUGCAUGUUUCGCAGUGAGGACAGCUCCGGACGUCCCGCCGCCCGGCCUGUGGCCCCGCUGCAGUGACAGCGCGCCUGGGGGUGGUGAUUCUCCGGCCUCGGAUGGAGCGGCUGCUNGCUGCUGGGAAUGCCUGGUGUAGACGCUGCGCGCCCUGCCUGCCGACAGGCACCGUCUGUCCGAGCCGUAGCGGUACCGAGAGCUGGCAGGCCCGGAGCCAC
rnacentral:lncRNA from 1 species